CUUGCACGUGGAAAGAGCUUACGAACUACAAGAGAGUUGAAUGUCUUUUUAAGCUUCUUUGUAGUCGAGAAACACGUUAUUUCGGCCCUAUUACCGAGGAUAUUGUCUGUGGUGUCCAAGUCGGGAAGUAUUCUUUAUGUUGGAUCAAGUGGUUCGGAUAUCUGUCGAGGAUUCAUGCCUUUUUACUUAGACACGAGUUUUCUUCAGUAUCAAGAAGAAUAUGAGAACAUUUUGAAAUCAAGAAAUUCAAGGAAGGAAAGAAAUACAUGACAACUUCUACCAAGGUUUCUUCGAUCACCCAAAGAUGGAUACCAGGCCGGGAACCCGAUCAUCACCUUAUACAUGAGACCAAAGACAUGCGACAUGUUGACAUAUGUUUAGCACACAUAAUAUUUCAUUAGAUUUUUUUCCUUUUCUAUUUGUUGUUUUUUUUUUCAGUAGAUUUUUGUAACAUUUUAGUUUCUGCGCUGAUAAAAAUGUAUAUUGAUAUUAGCGCAACUUACGUUAAUAUAAGUUAAAGUUAAAAACAAAUAUCAAUCUUGAAAAGAAGCCUAAUUGGAUCGACCCCCAAUUAAGAGAGUAAAAUGAAAAAUAGUUCCCUUUCCAACAACCGCCACUUUUAGUCAACAUCUCCCACCUCCAUCGGACAACCACAAAUAGUUCUCUUUUCACAACCGCUAUUUUUGGUCAGUUUGUAUAAACAUCUCUUGAAACAUUUAACUAAUAUUACAGUACAGUAUUACGAUACAAUCUUUGAAUAUACAUGUGUAUUACAAUAGUUCUACUACAAUCUUCUUCCUGCAUUCUCAUAAUACAGUAUUUAGACAGUUUCUAUUUUCACUCGUCCAACCUUCCCCACCCUUCAAACAACUUAAUAAGUAUUUCUAAACGUUGUCCUACCAUGUGGUAACAGCAUUUAUUAAAAACGCGUGCGUUUUUAUACAAGCAAAUGUCUGUCUUAAUGCACAUGUGUAUUUCAAGACGUUGUUACCACAAGGUACACUGCUUUUAUAAAUACUUUAAAAUAUCGGAUAAAAAGUACAUGUGGGAGAGGGAGUGAGUAUGUGUGUGUAGGUCGAUAGCUUGUCGGCCCCCAAUUUUUGCAUUCUGUCCGAGGUUGAUAAUUUUCUCUGAGCUCUAUUUUUUUUACUUCAGUUCAGUUUAGGGUUACGUUCACCCUCAUGUGUAAUAGUCACACAGUACUUAAAGAUUUAAAUACUGAGUUAUAAUCGUGUAACAUUACAAAUACGUGUUUCUACAACAAACCAACACUCAUCUAUUCGAGUGUAUUUGUUAAUAUAUUUGGUAGUUGGUGAAUAUUACGGAUGCUUCAACAAGGAAGACUUUAAUCCUAGUGAAAGAAAAGAUUUAUUCAGAAGUACAAACAGACGAAGCACAUUUUUUAACAUAGUUUUGAUUCAAACGUUAAAAUAGAAAGCUGAAAAGUUAUCUUUUUGUUGGUUCAAUUCAUGCUAAGGGUGCUUCACAUGAAGACUUUUCCCGCUAAGAAACC